GAGUUUGAUCGUGGCUCAGGACGAACGCUGGCGGCGUGCUUAACACAUGCAAGUCGAACGAGAAUCUACUGAAAGAGUUUUCGGACAAUGGAAGUAGAGGAAAGUGGCGGACGGGUGAGUAACGCGUGAGGAACCUGCCUUGAAGAGGGGACAACAGUUGGAAACGACUGCUAAUACCGCAUGAUGCAUAAGGGUCGCAUGAUUCUUAUGCCAAAGAUUUAUCGCUUCAAGAUGGCCUCGCGUCUGAUUAGCUAGUUGGCGGGGUAACGGCCCACCAAGGCGACGAUCAGUAGCCGGACUGAGAGGUUGAACGGCCACAUUGGGACUGAGAUACGGCCCAGACUCCUACGGGAGGCAGCAGUGGGGAAUAUUGGGCAAUGGGCGCAAGCCUGACCCAGCAACGCCGCGUGAAGGAAGAAGGCUUUCGGUAUGUAAACUUCUAUCAGCAGGGAAGAAAAUGACGGUACCUGACUAAGAAGCCCCGGCUAACUACGUGCCAGCCGCCGCGGU
rnacentral:rRNA from 1 species